rnacentral:misc_RNA from 1 species
AGUAGCUUCUACUUUGGAAGGACGAACUGGCCCACAGUGCUCUAAUAGGUGGAAAAAAUCCCUUGACCCAGCUAGGACAAAAAGAGGUCAUUUCACUCCAGAUGAAGACAGUCGCUUGAAAAUUGCUGUACUGCUCUUUGGGCCUAAAAAUUGGAACAAGACAGCAGAAUUUUUACCUGGUCGAAAUCAAGUUCAAUGCAGAGAAAGAUGGUUUA